rnacentral:rRNA from 1 species
UGAGAUACGGGUCAAACUCCUACGGGAGGCAGCAGUGAGGAAUAUUGGUCAAUGGGCGAGAGCCUGAACCAGCCAAGUCGCGUGAAGGAAGACUGCCCGCAAGGGUUGUAAACUUCUUUUGUAUGGGAUUAAAGUCACCUACGUGUAGGUGUUUGCAGUUACCAUACGAAUAAGCAUCGGCUAACUCCGUGCCAGCAGCCGCGGUAAUACGGAGGAUGCGAGCGUUAUCCGGAAUUAUUGGGUUUAAAGGGUGCGUAGGUUGCAAGGGAAGUCAGGGGUGAAAAGCUGUAGCUCAACUAUGGUCUUGCCUUUGAAACUCUCUAGCUAGAGUGUACUGGAGGUACGUGGAACGUGUGGUGUAGCGGUGAAAUGCAUAGAUAUCACACAGAACUCCGAUUGCGCAGGCAGCGUACUACAUUACAACUGACAC